GCCCACACCCCCAUUUAGAGCCCUCACCCCUUCCCGCACCCCAACCCAGUGAAAGUGAGCGAGGGUGCGGGAAAGCGAGCCACUAAGGGAGGGGAAUGGAGUGAGUGGGGGUGUUGCCUCUGGGAAGGGGCGAGGCAGGGGGCAGGGCCUCUGGGAAGGGGCCUCAGGGUGUUUGGUUUUGUGCCAAUAGAAAGUUGGUGAUCCUAACCACAGCCAGGGGUUCCCAUUAUGCAAUCCGCUCCCAGCCCAGGGCGAGCUGUGGUGCAUCAUGGGAGAUGAUGCACAGACAAUGGAGGAGCAUGUCUGAACGACAAGUCCCAUGAAGCACGGCAGCAUCUCAGAAAGGGAGGGAAACUGAGGCGCAUGAUGGAGAGAUGCAGUCCAGCCAAGGAACCCCUAGAGGAACAUGGGGCAUAUGAACUAGAACUCCCAUGAUGCACUACUGCAGACACGGGACACCUCUGAGUCUCCUCCAUUCACCAAGAAUGGAGGAGACUCCCCAGGAGCAUCAUGGAAGAUGUAGUUCAGCCACAAAGCCCAGCCUAGAAAGAAAAAUAGGACCAUGAUGCACCAUGAGUUUGGGCUCCCAUGAUGCAACUGCCUCCUCUGUCCAAGAGGGGGAGAUUGUGGUGCAUCAUGGGAAAUGUAUUCUGGCCUAUAGAGAAAAAUGGGAACAGGCCCUAUCUGAACUACCACUCCCAUGAUGCCCCACAGCCAGGGGCUCCCACAAGGCCGAGCAGUGGCAGUUCUGGAUCUAAAUUGUCCCUUUCUGGGUGAGGGCCAAGAUCAUCCAGUUUUGGGGCCAAAACCGUCCCAACUUCUUCAACUUUCACCCCAAACAAGAAAAUUUGGAAAUUUUCCCUGGAAAAUUUAGGCAAAAAUUGUUCUCCCCCAGUUUGAUCAGAUCUCGGCUCUAUGGGACACCCCUCCCCCCUGCCCUCCCCUGGCUCCCUGCCACCUGGCAGGGCUCCCCGAGGAGUAAACCAUUCCCAGCAGCGCGAGACGCCGGGCGGGUUCAGCUGCAAUAAGCCAGGAGCUCUCUGGGACUCUGGCCGCCUCCGCUGCUGGGGGAGAGAUAAGAGAGGCGAGGCCAAGGAACGGGCGGAGGAGGGGUUGUUUAUCUGCACCUGGCAGCGGGCCAGAAAGUGGGUGACACAUUGCUCCAGGCUGGCACCACCUGGCCUGGGAACUCAGAGAGGGCCCCAAACUGCAGCAAGGCCUCAUACGGCGAGCAGCGACCUUGCUCUGUACAUGGGGAAACUGAGGCACAAAGGAUAAACCAGAUACAAAGGGUGAGGCGAGCUCUGACCCUCAUGCUCAUUGGAAAGCCCCCACGCCUCACCCCAGAGGGGCUGCGUCCUAUCGCUGGGCUGGGGAUCCCUGGCUGCCCAGCCCCUGCGCUCCACCCCAGAGGGGCCGCAUCUCAGCACAGGAUGAGGGGUCCAUGUCUGUGUUCCCUCUAAGGUGCAGGUCCGCACACGGAGACUUUGACAGAUGAAGCCCCGGUUGAAUAUUAAAUAGCGCUAGGAUUUGGCAUAAGAGGAAAAGAUUCUUCCUAUCCAAAAUUCCCCGUCUCUUUCCAAAGGACUGCACCGGGCUCUCUGUGCUAGCCGGCUGCUGCUUUCCCUCCCCAGAGGUGGCAGCAUUUCAUCCUCGUGGAAGGAGGCUGGAGGAAUGAACUGAUAGGUGCCGCAGAUGUCACCUGAAGACAGAGCUUCCCUGAGACCCAGCUAGGGGCGAGUUGUGGGAUGCUGGGAGCUCUCGGGGGGAUAAGGAGUGCCCAAAAGUACGAAGAUGACGGCGCCCAGCCGCAUGUCACCUCCCUAUUGGUGCUUCACACAACAAAAUUCAUUCUGCACGUGGAUGGAAAAACGUAGGCUCCCGGAUACCCAGCCCCCUGCGCUCCACCCUAGAGGGGUCCCACCCCAGCAAUGGGCGAGGGGUCUCUGGAUACCCAACCCCCUGCUCCACCCCAGAGGGGCCACAUCCCAGCGCCAGGCGAGGGGUCCCAAUAUAAUGAGCCCCCCGCGCUCCACUCCAGAGGGGCUGCAUCCCAGCGCCAGGCGAGGGGUCCCCAUAUAACGAGCUCCCCAUGCUCCACCCCAGAGGGACCGCAUCUCAGCGCCAGGCGAGGGGUCCCCAUAUAACGAGCUCCCCAUGCUCCACCCCAGAGGGGCUGCAUCCCAGUGCCAGGUGAGGGAUCCCUGUCUACCCAGAGCCAGCCACAUCCCAGCACCAGCUGAGGGGUCCCCGGAUACCCAGCCCCCACGCCGCACCCCAGAGGGGCCGCGUCCCAGCACCAGGCGAGGGGUCCCUGCGUACCCCACCCCCACGCUCCACCCCAGAGGGGCUGCGUCCCAGUGCUGGGUGGGGGGUGGCAGCUCUGGGGGAUGAGGAGUUGU